CGAGGUGUAGCGCAGCUGGUAGCGCGCCUGCUUUGGGAGCAGGAUGUCGCAGGUUCGAGUCCUGUCACCUCGACCA
rnacentral:tRNA from 1 species